UCCUGGUUGGCUCAGUGGUAAAGAAUCUGCUUGCCAAGUAGGAGACACAGGUUCAAUCCCUGGGUUGGGAA
rnacentral:tRNA from 1 species